rnacentral:rRNA from 1 species
UGAAGACCUUACCCGACUUAGCUGAGAGGUGGUGCAUGGCCGUCGUCAGUUCGUACUGUGAAGCAUCCUGUUAAGUCAGGCAACGAGCGAGACCCACGUCCACAGUUGCCAGCAUACCCUCCGGGGUGAUGGGUACACUGUGGAGACCGCCGCUGCUAAAGCGGAGGAAGGAGUGGGCAACGGUAGGUCAGUAUGCCCCGAAUCUCCCGGGCUACACGCGGGCUACAAUGGUUGGUACAAUGGGCAUCUACCCCGAAAGGGGAAGGAAAUCUCUUAAAGCCAAUCGUAGUUCGGAUUGAGGGCUGCAACUCGCCCUCAUGAAGCUGGAAUCCGUAGUAAUCGCGUUUCAACAGAACGCGGUGAAUACGUCCCUGCUCCUU